AUUGAACGCUGGCGGCAUGCCUAACACAUGCAAGUCGAACGGCAGCACAGCAGUAGCAAUACUGUGGGUGGCGAGUGGCGGACGGGUGAGGAAUACGUCGGAAUCUGCCCAGUCGUGGGGGAUAACUAGCCGAAAGGUUAGCUAAUACCGCAUACGACCGAGAGGUGGAAAGCGGGGGACCGCAAGGCCUCGCGCGAUUGGAUGAGCCGACGUCGGAUUAGCUAGUUGGCGGGGGUAAAGGCCCACCAAGGCGACGAUCCGUGGCUGGUCUGAGAGGAUGAUCAGCCACACUGGAACUGAGACACGGUCCAGACUCCUACGGGAGGCGAGCAGUGGGGAAUAUUGGACAAUGGGCGCAAGCCUGAUCCAGCCAUGCGCCGUGAGUGAUGAAGGCCCUAGGGUUGUAAAGCUCUUUUGUGCGGGAAGAUAAUGACGGUACCGCAAGAAUAAGCCCCGGCUAACUUCGUGCCAGCAGCCGCGGU
rnacentral:rRNA from 1 species